GCAAAGUAAAGGAAGAUAAAUUUAAAGGAAGUCUUUCUGAAGGAAUGAAAGUUGAGCAGGAAUCUUCGUCUGAUGAUAACCUUGAAGACUUUGAUGUAGAGGAAGAAGAUGAAGAAGCCCUAAUAGAACAGAGAAGAAUCCAAAGGCAGGCAAUUGUUCAGAAAUAUAAAUACCUUGCUGAAGAUAGCAAUAUGUCUGUGCCAUCUGAACCAAGCAGCCCUCAGAGCAGUACGAGAACACGAUCACCAUCUCCAGAUGACAUUCUGGAGCGAGUAGCUGCUGAUGUUAAAGAGUAUGAACGGGAAAAUGUUGAUACAUUUGAGGCCUCAGUGAAAGCCAAGCAUAAUCUAAUGACAGUUGAACAGAAUAAUGGUUCAUCUCAGAAGAAGUUGUUGGCACCUGAUAUGUUUACAGAAUCUGAUGAUAUGUUUGCUGCGUAUUUUGAUAGUGCUCGUCUUCGGGCCGCUGGCAUUGGAAAAGAUUUCAAAGAGAAUCCCAACCUCAGAGAUAACUGGACCGAUGCAGAAGGCUAUUAUCGUGUGAACAUAGGUGAAGUCCUAGAUAAACGUUACAAUGUGUAUGGCUACACUGGGCAAGGUGUGUUCAGUAACGUUGUGCGAGCCAGAGACAAUGCAAGAGCCAGCCAAGAAGUGGCUGUAAAGAUCAUCAGGAACAAUGAGCUCAUGCAAAAGACUGGUUUAAAAGAAUUAGAGUUCUUGAAAAAACUUAACGAUGCUGAUCCUGAUGACAAAUUUCAUUGUCUGAGACUCUUCAGGCACUUCUACCACAAGCAGCAUCUUUGUCUCGUAUUCGAGCCCCUCAGUAUGAACUUACGAGAGGUGUUAAAAAAAUAUGGUAAAGAUGUUGGUCUUCAUAUUAAAGCUGUAAGAUCCUAUAGUCAGCAGUUGUUCCUGGCAUUGAAACUCCUUAAAAGAUGCAAUAUCCUACAUGCAGAUAUCAAGCCAGACAAUAUCCUGGUUAAUGAAUCCAAAACCAUUUUAAAGCUUUGCGAUUUUGGGUCGGCUUCACAUGUUGCGGAUAAUGACAUAACACCUUAUCUUGUCAGUAGAUUUUAUCGUGCUCCUGAAAUCACAGCUGCACGAGUUCAUUCAUGAGGAAGGGAACCAUAGCAAGUUCAUCCUCCUCAGGUGGAAUGAAGGUAGUUGUGACAGGAGUCUUGAUCAUGUCGGGCAAGAGUAGCAAAACAGUUGUGGAAAAUCCUCGACUUUAGAAGACUGCUCUUGAUUAUUCAAGUUAUAGGUAAAAGCUAUGACUAUGGUAUAGAUAUGUGGUCUGUAGGUUGCACCUUAUACGAACUCUAUACUGGAAAAAUUUUAUUCCCUGGCAAAACCAAUAACCAUAUGCUGAAGCUUGCAAUGGAUCUCAAAGGAAAGAUGCCAAAUAAGAUGAUUCGAAAAGGUGUGUUCAAAGAUCAGCAUUUUGAUCAAAAUCUCAACUUCAUGUACAUAGAAGUUGAUAAAGUAACAGAGAGGGAGAAAGUUACUGUUAUGAGCACCAUUAAUCCAACUAAGGACCUGUUGGCUGACUUGAUUGGGUGUCAGAGACUUCCUGAAGACCAACGUAAGAAAGUACACCAGCUAAAGGACUUGUUGGACCAGAUUCUGAUGCUGGACCCAGCUAAACGAAUUAGCAUCAACCAGGCCCUACAGCAUGCCUUCAUCCAGGAAAAAAUUUAAACAAGAUGAAGAAACUCCAAGGGUUUGAGUAAAUACAAAGACUGAAGAAAUUUCACAGCAGUUUAUUAAUGUAUAUAAACUUAUAAAUAUUUCUCCAGCAAAUUUGAGGAAGCAUGAUAUAUUUGAAUUAACACCAAGGGUGAUAUUUCUUUUAGAAAUGUUAGUUAAUCUGUUUUGUGUCUUACGUGAAAUUUCACUGUAGAACUGUUUUAAAUUGCCAAGACUGCACAAAAUUACAGUGCUAAUGUAUAUGGUUGCAGUUCACAUAAAGACAAAAGCAUCUGUUAUAAAAUGAGUAGUAAUAUUGGGUGGUUGAUUUGUUUUUAGCAGACUUGGCUUCAUUUUGGUCUUGAGAUAAAAUGGCCAGCAUAAAUGCUGUUUAUAUUCACGUUUUCCUAGGUGUGUGUGUGCAGGCCACAGCAGCAUGCCCUUGGUGUAGUCAGUGCCGAAAGGGGUCUGUUCCUUCUUGAGCCUGCCUGCAGGGAUGGUCUCCUUUUAAAGCAGGUUGUGUGCAGCAUUCAGUACACUGAAGGCAUAAACCUUCCACUCUUGAACAAAGCAGCUGCUUUUUAAAAGCGAGAAAAAGGAAAACGGGGCACAGGCCAUUCGACGCCUUCUCCAAGGGGUCUGAUUUGCUGAGACACCAGCUUCACCUUCUUAACAAGGUGCAGCUCAGUGGAAGAUGAUGACAACCAGAAGACAUGAGCUAAGGGUAAGGGACUGUUCUGAAGAACCUUUCCAUUUAAUGAUCAAGAUAUGGAAGCUGAUUUCUGAAAAUGCUCAGUGUAUACUCUAAUUAUUUAUGGUACCAUUUGAAUUGUAACUUGCAUUUUAGUAGUGCAUGUUUCUAAUUGACUUACUGGGAAACUGAAUAAAAUAUGCCUCUUAUUAUCA
rnacentral:sRNA from 1 species